AUUGAACGCUGGCGGCAGGCCUAACACAUGCAAGUCGAACGAGUGGCGGACGGGUGAGUAAUGUCUGGGAAACUGCCUGAUGGAGGGGGAUAACUACUGGAAACGGUAGCUAAUACCGCAUACCAUCAGAUGUGCCCAAAGGGGAUUAGCUGGUUGGUGGGGUAACGGCUCACCAAGGCGACGAUCCCUAGCUGGUCUGAGAGGAUGACCAGCCACACGGGGACUGAGACACGGUCCAGACUCCUACGGGAGGCAGCAGUAGGGAAUAUUGCACAAUGGGCGCAAGCCUGAUGCAGCCAUGCCGCGUGUAUGAAGAAGGCCUUCGGAUUGUAAAGUACUUUCAGCGGGGAGGCGUUACCCGCAGAAGAAGCACCGGCUAACUCCGUGCCAGCCGCCGCGGUAAUAC
rnacentral:rRNA from 1 species